GUUUAGCCCUCCGGAAAACAUGUCAUCUGUUGGCCUCUUUCUAGUCACCAUCUCAAGAACCAGGACACCGAAGCUAUAAACAUCCCCCUUUGUGGAUGUGCUUGACCCAAACCCAUACUCUUCAAGAUGAUGACUGGAAAACGCAUCUCCGAAACAUGUAACAGAAUGCUGUAUCAGUAAAACGAGCAUGGUUAUCUUGAAGGACAUGCUGGAGAAGCAGUGGUCGAUGAUGAUCUCCAAAAUAUCCGUGGAUCAAGCUAUUACACAGGUGUAUUACAUAUUCGAGUAUUAAAAUGAUAAGUUCAAAGCUUUUAUGUGGUGGUCUGCUUGCACGAUUGACAUUUUUAUUUGUGGUUAUGGGUGGAGGUGGAAAGAGAUUUUUGAAUAUGGAAAAUUCAAUUGCGGCAUGAUUUGAUGAGGGACUAAACAAUCCUUCUUCCCUAUUCAACGUUGAGGAGAGGAAUGAAUAGAUAUUCAACUUAGAUAAACACCCACUGGGAGGACAACUGCUUCUAGUACCUAGUAGAAUAUGAUUACUAUUCGCCCUAAAGUUGAGCGGAGAACAGUUGAUUUAUAUAUGUUUUUUAACUUAGCCUGCUGAAAUUGAUAUAGUUGACAUUUAUGUUUAAUGAUUUAUGGUUGUUCUAGCCUAGAUCAAUGAAUAAAAAAUCCCAUUAUCCAAAUAAUGUCUUUUGGCAUUUAACAAAAUCUAGAAAGGA